rnacentral:rRNA from 1 species
AGAUUGAACGCUAGCGGCAUGCCCCAAACACAUGCAAAGUCGAACGGGUAACCAGGGCCCUCGGGGUGCUGACGAGUGGCGGACGGGUAGAGUAAUGCGUAGGAACUCUACCCACGGAGUGACGGGGAUAAGCCCCGGGAGAAAAUCCCGGAUUAAUACCGCACUAGUAGCCCCGUACGGGGUAAAGCGGGGGAUCGUAAGACCUCGCGCUGGUGGACUGAGCCUACGUCCGAUUA